rnacentral:ncRNA from 1 species
UUAAUUUCUUGAUGAGUAAGUUUAAUAUUUAGUUCAGAGAGUUUCCGAAUGGUGCGAGGAAAUCAAAAAUAUAAACUGAAGAUGGUCUAGAUUAUUACGUAGGUGUGAGUCAUCAGAUUAGCACUUAAUGGUUGUGCCCAUUACCGCACUCAGUUAUUUAACUGAAUGAGAGAACAAUUGUGAAGUUGUUCCAAAGUAAGGUGGUACCGCGGUCACACGUCCUUAUU